GACCUCGGAUCAGGUAGGGAUACCCGCUGAACUUAAGCAUAUCAAUAAGCGGAGGAAAAGAAACCAACUGGGAUUGCCUCAGUAACGGCGAGUGAAGCGGCAUCAGCUCAGAUUUGAAAUCUGGUUCUUUCAGAGCCCGAGUUGUAAUCUGUAGAGGAGUCUUCGGGUUUGGAUCUGGCCUAAGUUUCUUGGAACAGAACGUCAUAGAGGGUGAGAGUCCCGUAUGAGGCCAGCUGCCUAUUCCCAUGUGAAGCUUCUUCGACGAGUCGAGUUGUUUGGGAAUGCGGCUCAAAAUGGGUGGUAAAUUUCAUCUAAAGCUAAAUAUUGGCGGGAGACCGAUAGCGCACAAGUAGAGUGAUCGAAAGAUGAAAAGCACUUUGAAAAGAGAGUUAAAAAGUACGUGAAAUUGUUGAAAGGGAAACGC
rnacentral:rRNA from 1 species